AAACACUGUCAAUAAGCCAGUGCUGAACUAUGUAAAAUGGCCUUUUUCAUUGAGUGGGGACUACACAAAUAGCUAAUUCUGGGCCAAAGAGAUGUGAGUGAAGUGGCUGCUGAUUGCUGAAUAUCUUUGAUGGCAAGGUAACUAUGCUUUUGAACCUUGAAAAUUGUACUACUGUAGGGCAUUUUGGAUUAUGCACUCACUCAACAAGUAUUUAUUGAGUAUGUACUGUGUACUAAACACUAUUCUAAGUUCUUGUUAUAUAUAUUGAUGAAAGAGAAAGAUACUUUCUUUAUGAUACUUUUUCUAGUAGGGGAACAGAAAAUAAACAAUAGACAUAAAAAAUAAGCACCAUAGAUUGUUAAAAGGUAGUAAUUGCAUGAAAAAAGGAGAACAGGGCAGGGGAGAUUGGGAGUAUUGGGGUUAGAGAUGGGGUUACAAUUUUAAAUAGAGUCGUCAGGGCAGGCCUUAUUGCAAAGGUGAUGACUGGAGGCAAGCGGGUGAGCCAUGAGUAAAUCUGGAGGAAGAGCAUUGCAGGCAACGGAAACAGACCCAGUAGCAGAACAUUGCCUGCUGUGCUUGAGGAGCAGCUAGGAGCACUCAAGUAGAGUGCUCACGGUGGAGAGGUGGGAGGACCAAAGCCUGUGGGGCCUGCUGGCUUGUGGAAAGGACUUUGGUUUUUAUUCUGUGUGAGUUGGGGAGCUUUUGCAGGGCUUUGGGCAGAGGAUUGACGUGAUCUAAUUCAACGGGAAUUAUUUGACUUCUGUGCAGAGAAUAAACUGUAAAGGGAUAAGCGUUGAUGCAAGGAGAGUAGGCUGGAGACUAUUAGAAUAAUCCAGGACGGAGUGGCUCAGAUCAAAGUGGUGGCAGUGGAGAUAGUGAGAAGUAGCUAGGUUCUGGUUUAUACAUUGAAAGUAGGAGCAAUCAGGUUUCCUCAUGUAUUGAAUGCAGGGAAUGAGGGGGAGCGGUUGCAGUUACUUACCUCGAUUGUUUUUGUCUGAACGAUUGGAAGAAUGGUGUUUCCUUCAACUGGGGUUAGAAGGCUACGGCUGGGGAGAAGGUUUUGUGGGAGAAGGUGGGAGUUCAGUUUUGGACAUACCAAGUUUGAGAUUAAGCUGUCUGAUAUGCACGAAUGGACUUUGGGAGAGAGAGUCAUUGAAGAGUGUGGGACAGAAGUGCUGUGUGAUGUCUCGAGCCUGCAUAGAAUCACAGAGGGAAUGAGCGUCAUAGAGAAGAGGCGAGGACUGAGGGCCGAGUCUUGGGCCGCUACAGCGUCAAGAGGUUGAGGAGCAGAGCAGGAACCAGCAAAGCAACCUAAAGAGCAACCAUGAGGAAAGGGGAAAGUGUGAGAGUAAGGAGUCCUGGUGGCCGCAUGGAGGAAGGAAGUGUGUCCAAGUGAGAAGAUGUUGAAUGGUGUCAGCAGCUGCCAAUAAAGCCGUGAGAUUGUGUCUGAGUGGGGGCAUGUGAAUCCGUGUGGGUCCAUGUGGAUGCAGUGGAGGUCACUGGUGAUCUCAUGAGAGUGGCUUCCUUGGAGUAGUGGGUAAAAGUCUGCUUAAAAGAGGGCUUAGGAGUGAAUCGGGGAAAGGAAUGGAAAUACAUCAACAUAGACAACCCUUGAGGAGUUUUGCCACGAAGAGACACCAAAAAAAAAAGAGAGAAAGGAAAAGCAAA